rnacentral:rRNA from 1 species
ACUCCUACGGGAGGCAGCAGUAGGGAAUCUUCCACAAUGGGUGCAAACCUGAUGGAGCAAUGCCGCGUGAGUGAAGAAGGUCUUCGGAUCGUAAAGCUCUGUUGUUAGAGAAGAACACGUGCUAGGUAACUACUAGCGCCUUGACGGUAUCUAACCAGAAAGUCACGGCUAACUACGUGCCAGCAGCCGCGGUAAUACGUAGGUGACAAGCGUUGUCCGGAUUUAUUGGGCGUAAAGGGAGCGCAGGCGGUCUGUUUAGUCUAAUGUGAAAGCCCACGGCUUAACCGUGGAACGGCAUUGGAAACUGACAGACUUGAAUGUAGAAGAGGAAAAUGGAAUUCCAAGUGUAGCGGUGGAAUGCGUAGAUAUUUGGAGGAACACCAGUGGCGAAGGCGAUUUUCUGGUCUAACAUUGACGCUGAGGCUCGAAAGCGUGGGGAGCGAACAGGAUUAGAAACCCGUGUAGUCCC